UUUACAAGGUGUUGUGAAGUC
rnacentral:siRNA from 1 species